rnacentral:rRNA from 1 species
UACGGAGGGUGCGAGCGUUGUCCGGAAUUACUGGGCGUAAAGAGCUCGUAGGUGGUUUGUCGCGUUGUUCGUGAAAUCCCACGGCUUAACUGUGGGCGUGCGGGCGAUACGGGCAGACUGGAGUACUGCAGGGGAGACUGGAAUUCCUGGUGUAGCGGUGGAAUGCGCAGAUAUCAGGAGGAACACCGGUGGCGAAGGCGGGUCUCUGGGCAGUAACUGACGCUGAGGAGCGAAAGCGUGGGGAGCGAACAGG